rnacentral:rRNA from 1 species
AUUGAACGCUGGCGGCAGGCCUAAUACAUGCAAGUCGAGCGGAUGGAGGGAGCUUGCUCCUGUCUUCAGAGGGGGACGGGUGAGUGAUGCCUAGGAGUCUGCCUGGUCGUGGGGGAUAACGUCCGGCAACGGGCGCUAAUACCGCAUACGUUUUGAGAGAGAACGUGGGGGAUCUUUGGAGCACACGCUUUUAGAUGUGCCUAGGUCGGAUUAGCUAGUUGGUGGGGUAAAGGCCUACCAAGGCGACGAUCCGUAGCUGGUCUGAGAGGAUGAUCAGGCACACUGGAACUGAGACACGGUCCAGACUCCUACGGGAGGCAGCAGUGGGGAAUAUUGCACAAUGGGCGAAAGCCUGACCCAGCCAUGCCGCGUGUGUGAAGAAGGUCUUCGGAUUGUAAAGCACUUUAAGUUGGGAGGAAGGGCAGUAAAGUAAUACCUUGCUGUUUUGACGGUACCAACAGAAUAAGCACCGGCUAACUUCGUG